UGACGCUGCGCAGCUACACAUGCAGUCGAACGGUAACAGAAAGCAGCUUGCUGCUUUGCUGACGAGUGGCGGACGGGUGAGUAAUGUCUGGGAAACUGCCUGAUGGAGGGGGAUAACUACUGGAAACGGUAGCUAAUACCGCAUAACGUCGCAAGACCAAAGAGGGGGACCUUCGGGCCUCUUGCCAUCGGAUGUGCCCAGAUGGGAUUAGCUAGUAGGUGGGGUAACGGCUCACCUAGGCGACGAUCCCUAGCUGGUCUGAGAGGAUGACCAGCCACACUGGAACUGAGACACGGUCCAGACUCCUACGGGAGGCAGCAGUGGGGAAUAUUGCACAAUGGGCGCAAGCCUGAUGCAGCCAUGCCGCGUGUAUGAAGAAGGCCUUCGGGUUGUAAAGUACUUUCAGCGGGGAGGAAGGGAGUAAAGUUAAUACCUUUGCUCAUUGACGUUACCCGCAGAAGAAGCACCGGCUAACUCCGUGCCAGCAGCCGCGGUAAUACGGAGGGUGCAAGCGUUAAUCGGAAUUACUGGGCGUAAAGCGCACGCAGGCGGUUUGUUAAGUCAGAUGUGAAAUCCCCGGGCUCAACCUGGGAACUGCAUCUGAUACUGGCAAGCUUGAGUCUCGUAGAGGGGGGUAGAAUUCCAGGUGUAGCGGUGAAAUGCGUAGAGAUCUGGAGGAAUACCGGUGGCGAAGGCGGCCCCCUGGACGAAGACUGACGCUCAGGUGCGAAAGCGUGGGGAGCAAACAGGAUUAGAUACCCUGGUAGUCCACGCCGUAAACGAUGUCGACUUGGAGGUUGUGCCCUUGAGGCGUGGCUUCCGGAGCUAACGCGUUAAGUCGACCGCCUGGGGAGUACGGCCGCAAGGUUAAAACUCAAAUGAAUUGACGGGGGCCCGCACAAGCGGUGGAGCAUGUGGUUUAAUUCGAUGCAACGCGAAGAACCUUACCUGGUCUUGACAUCCACGGAAGUUUUCAGAGAUGAGAAUGUGCCUUCGGGAACCGUGAGACAGGUGCUGCAUGGCUGUCGUCAGCUCGUGUUGUGAAAUGUUGGGUUAAGUCCCGCAACGAGCGCAACCCUUAUCCUUUGUUGCCAGCGGUCCGGCCGGGAACUCAAAGGAGACUGCCAGUGAUAAACUGGAGGAAGGUGGGGGAUGACGUCAAGUCAUCAUGGCCCUUACGACCAGGGCUACACACGUGCUACAAUGGCGCAUACAAAGAGAAGCGACCUCGCGAGAGCAAGCGGACCUCAUAAAGUGCGUCGUAGUCCGGAUUGGAGUCUGCAACUCGACUCCAUGAAGUCGGAAUCGCUAGUAAUCGUGGAUCAGAAUGCCACGGUGAAUACGUUCCCGGGCCUUGUACACACCGCCCGUCACACCAUGGGAGUGGGUUGCAAAAGAAGUAGGUAGCUUAACCUUCGGGAGGGCGCUACACUUGUGAUCAUGACUGGGU
rnacentral:rRNA from 1 species